rnacentral:rRNA from 1 species
UACGUAGGGGGCGAGCGUUGUCCGGAUUUAUUGGGCGUAAAGGGCGUGUAGGCGGCUUAUUAAGUCAGAGGUGAAAACCCAGGGCUCAACCCUGUGCGUGCCUCUGAAACUGUUAAGCUUGAGUGCUCUAGAGGGCAGUGGAAUUGCCGGUGUAGCAGUGAAAUGCGUAGAGAUCGGCAGGAACACCAGUGGCGAAGGCGACUGCCUGGGGAGUAACUGACGCUGAGGCGCGAAAGCUGGGGGAGCAAACGGG